rnacentral:rRNA from 1 species
UACAGAGGGGGCAAGCGUUGUUCGGAAUUACUGGGCGUAAAGCGCACGUAGGCGGCUUUUUAAGUCAGGGGUGAAAUCCCGGGGCUCAACCCCGGAACUGCCCUUGAAACUGGAGAGCUAGAAUCUUGGAGAGGCGAGUGGAAUUCCGAGUGUAGAGGUGAAAUUCGUAGAUAUUCGGAAGAACACCAGUGGCGAAGGCGACUCGCUGGACAAGUAUUGACGCUGAGGUGCGAAAGCGUGGGGAGCAAACAGG